UCUACCACCAUAUCACCAUGAACUCUCUAGAUCUUAUCUAAACUUGGAAGCUAAAUAGGUUCAGGCCUGGUUAGUUCUUAGAUGUGAGUAUCAGAAACAGGCUAUUUGUUAGAU
rnacentral:rRNA from 1 species